UUCUUGAAGUUUCCAUGCCAUUUUCUCUUUAUCCACCAUGAAAUCAAGUUUUCUUCACUUUCCUUUCCAUGUUUUCUUUUCCUUUCUUCUCCAAACUUCUUGAGCACUAAAUUUACAACCUUUAACCCCAAUUUCCAGCACAUCUAAAUCCUAGGAGGAGAAGAAAGAAAAAGAGAGAAAGGAAGAAAAAGCUUGGUUUUGAUGAUCCAAGCAAGAAACGGUAAGAAUUCUUGUUUUUGGCUUGAGUAGUCUUUGAAAAUGAGUUAGUGACUUAGAGAAAUGUCUUGUGGCAGCAAAGAUUGACUUGAUUGGAGAAAAAUUGAUAACAUGUAAGCCAAUAAACCCAUGGGUACAUGAAGGACUCAAAGUGGAAAAGGAAAAUGGUAAGCUUAACACUAUGUUUUAAAGCCUACGGUUAGUUGAAUAUUGUGAGGAAUUAUGGUUGUUGAAAGGAUUUAUUUGCCUAAGCUAGAUGAAAAUUAUUAAGAUUGUAUGGCAUGUUGUUUGAAAGAAAUGAAAAAGGAAUAUUGUGGAUGGAGGAUUGAGAAACAAAGUAUUGAAAGUUAGAUAGAUAACGAUGCGUGUAAACUAGGAAAUAAUCGAAUGAAAGUGAGAAUGAUUGUUACUACCAUAUAUGUGGAUUAUGUGUGGAAAUAUAAGAUGGAUUUGGGUGGAAAUUAUUUAGAAAGGUUGAAGUAGGCACGUGACAUCAUAAUUAAGUUACCAGUGAUAUAAUCUAAGGAAUUACGUAGGUAAUGGAUAUAAGUAAUUUUAGUACAAAUGUAUUAAGAUGUGAGUUAAUUGAAGAUGGUUUCAUUAUAGGAUGAAAAAUAUAAAUUUGAGUAAGGAUUAAUUGAUUGAAGUAUACAUAUAUAAUUAAACAUAUUGAGUUCGUAUUAUUGUUAGGAAGUGCAAAGAUAAGGUUAGGGUACU
rnacentral:lncRNA from 1 species